GAAACUCGACCCCUAACGGGGUAAAACGGGGGUUGGAAGUUUGUAUGAAAGUCCUAUGUUUUUGAAGUAAGAGACCUGAAAUUUAAAAUGUAUGCUCUAUAGAAGAUGAAAAGACGUCCAAAUAAUGUAUCUUUAGAAAUCAACCCCUUUUUGGGGUUGAAACGGGGGAUGGUAGGUUGACUCACUGAUCACGAAAUCUCUGAAACUAUAACACCUACAAACUUGAAAUUUGGCAGAAAGGCUCUUUAUAAGGCGUAAACAUCCGUUAAGAACGGAUUUUACGAAACUCGAUCCCUAAGAGGUUAAAACGGGGGGUUGGAAGUUUGUAUGAAAGUCCUAUGUUUUAGAAGUAAAAGACUUAAAAUUUAAAAUGUAUGCUCUAUAGAUAAUGAGAAGGCGUCCAAAUAAUGUAUCUUUAGAAAUCAACCCCUUUUUGGGGUUAAAAC
rnacentral:misc_RNA from 1 species